AUCUAGUAUAAAAGACAGUAAUAUGUCUUCGAUUAGAGUAGAUCGUAGUAAAGAGAAAGACUCAAUAGUUCUUUAAAGAUCUUCAUUUACUUAGAUCUCCAACAAGGCCUGAAUUCAGACAUGACUUCCAGUUGGUACUUCUCUUGUUUGGUCGUCGCCACCCUGAUUCUCCACACGUGUUUGUGCCUGCCAACUGAGUUUGCAACGACAACAGAUGUGCCAUCUAUUCCAGAAGCUGCUGGAGACCUAUCCACCUCAGAUGCAUCUGUUGUCGAUCCAUCUACCUACGGAGAUCUGGACCCAAAGUCAAUUAACUUAAACAACCUUAUACUAUUGUCUAUACUGAGAAAUCAAGGACUGUUUAGUAAUCUCAACAGUAAUUCAUUGCUAACUCUACUGCUGCUCAGGAACAUUGGUUAAAGAACUUGGAGAUCCCUUGGACUGCUAAAACAUGCAUCAUGUGCUCAAUAAAUCUGAUGUAAACAUUGA
rnacentral:sRNA from 1 species